UACGUAGGUGGCAAGCGUUGUCCGGAUUUACUGGGCGUAAAGAGCGCGCAGGCGGUCGUUCAAGUCGCGUGUGAAAGCCCCCGGCUCAACCGGGGAGGGUCACGCGAUACUGAUCGACUCGAAGGCAGGAGAGGGUAGUGGAAUUCCCGGUGUAGUGGUGAAAUGCGUAGAUAUCGGGAGGAACACCAGUGGCGAAGGCGACUACCUGGCCUGUUCUUGACGCUGAGGCGCGAAAGCUAGGGGAGCAAACGGG
rnacentral:rRNA from 1 species